UUGACAGUGUUUGAAGAAGAUGGCGUCGAGCAGAAACGUCUGUUAGCAGAGUGUCUUUGUUGUGUUUUUAAAGUGUGAAGAUGUGUAAAGUCCAAAUGCUGAGAGCGUUGGUGAAGCAGCGACUAACUGCGGCUGCUGAAGAGAUAUUUGGGCUGUUUGAAAGAACGAUAGCAGAGUACGAGGAGCAACUUUGUCGCUCAAAAGAGGAGAACGAGCGACAACGGAAACUACUGGACGCUGUUUACAACCCUCAGCUCAGGUUACACAGAGCAGGAAUGUGUGGAGUUCUGAGUCGCAGGGUGGAUCAUUGAUCAGUCGAUCCAAUCAGAGCUGAUAUGAUCAGACCGAUGGACGAGAGGAGCAGCUGCUGCAACGACAUGCAGCAACUGUUGGUGGUUAAAGAAGAGGUUCCCCCUGAG